rnacentral:misc_RNA from 1 species
AACGCACGAGACCUGCGGACCUGCGGAGGGAUCAUUACCGAGUUAUCAACUCCCAAACCCCUGUGAACAUACCCGAACGUUGCCUCGGCGGGACCGCCCCGGCGCCCCUAGCGGCCCGGAACCAGGCGCCCGCCGGAGGACCCAAACUCUUGCUUUAAACAGUGGCAUACUCUCUGAGUCUCACAAACAAAAAAUAAAUCAAAACUUUCAACAACGGAUCUCUAGAUCGGAAGAGCACAC